rnacentral:rRNA from 1 species
UACGUAGGGGGCGAGCGUUGUCCGGAUUUAUUGGGCGUAAAGAGCGUGUAGGCGGCCAGGUAGGUCCGUUGUGAAAACUCGAGGCUCAACCUCGAGACGUCGGCGGAAACCCUCUGGGCUAGAGUCCGGAAGAGGAGAGUGGAAUUCCUGGUGUAGCGGUGAAAUGCGCAGAUAUCAGGAAGAACACCCGUGGCGAAGGCGGCCCCCUGGGCCGAACCUGACGCUGAGACGGCGAAAAGCGUGGGGAGCGAACAGGG